CGUGUAGGCGGGUCUUUAAGUCAGGGGUGAAAUGCCAAGGCUCAACCUUGGAACUGCCUUUGAUACUGGAGAUCUUGAGUCCGGGAGAGGUGAGUGGAACUGCGAGUGUAGAGGUGAAAUUUGUAGAUAUUCGCAAGAACACCAGUGGCGAAGGCGGCUCACUGGCCCGGAACUGACGCUGAGACGCGAAAGCGUGGGGAGCAAACAGGAUUAGAUACCCUGGUAGUCCACGCUGUAAACGAUGGAUGCUAGCCGUUGGGGAGCUUGCUCUUCAGUGGCGCAGCUAACGCUUUAAGCAUCCCGCCUGGGGAGUACGGUCGCAAGAUUAAA
rnacentral:rRNA from 1 species